rnacentral:rRNA from 1 species
CGAUGGAUAGGGGUUCUGAGAGGAAGGUCCCCCACAUUGGAACUGAGACACGGUCCAAACUCCUACGGGAGGCAGCAGUGAGGAAUAUUGGUCAAUGGGCGAGAGCCUGAACCAGCCAAGUAGCGUGAAGGAUGACUGCCCUAUGGGUUGUAAACUUCUUUUAUAAAGGAAUAAAGUCGGGUAUGCAUACCCGUUUGCAUGUACUUUAUGAAUAAGGAUCGGCUAACUCCGUGCCAGCAGCCGCGGUAAUACGGAGGAUCCGAGCGUUAUCCGGAUUUAUUGGGUUUAAAGGGAGCGUAGAUGGAUGUUUAAGUCAGUUGUGAAAGUUUGCGGCUCAACCGUAAAAUUGCAGUUGAUACUGGAUGUCUUGAGUGCAGUUGAGGCAGGCGGAAUUCGUGGUGUAGCGGUGAAAUGCUUAGAUAUCACGAAGAACUCCGAUUGCGAAGGCAGCCUGCUAAGCUGCAACUGACAUUGAGGCUCGAAAGUGUGGGUAUCAAACAGGAUUAGAUACCCUGGUAGUCCACACGGUAAACGAUGAAUACUCGCUGUUUGCGAUAUACUGCAAGCGGCCAAGCGAAAGCGUUAAGUAUUCCACCUGGGGAGUACGCCGGCA